rnacentral:rRNA from 1 species
UAGGGAAUUUUCCACAAUGGACGAAAGUCUGAUGGAGCAACGCCGCGUGCAGGAUGAAUGCCUUCGGGUUGUAAACUGCUUUUAUCUGUGACGAAUAUGACGGUAGCAGAUGAAUAAGCUUCGGCUAACUCCGUGCCAGCAGCCGCGGUCAUACGGAGGAAGCAAGCGUUAUCCGGAAUUACUGGGCGUAAAGAGUUGCGUAGGUGGCAUUGUAAGUCGGUAGUGAAAGCGUGGGGCUCAACCUCAUAUCCAUUACCGAAACUGCAAAGCUAGAGGACGAGAGAGGUUAUUGGAAUUCCCAGUGUAGGAGUGAAAUCCGUAGAUAUUGGGAGGAACACCGAUGGCGUAGGCAGAUAACUGGCUCGUUCCUGACACUAAGGCACGAAAGCGUGGGGAGCAAACGGGAUUAGAUACCCCCGUAGUCC